UUCAUGCAGUGUGACUGGACCAAGCCCCUCUGACCCAGUGUUGGCUGUGUUAUCAAGUGACUCAUUGCUGCUUGAAGAAUGACAAGAUGUUUCAUGCUGACAAUUGUCACAGCUAGUGGGUCAGGAGGGAUUGCAGCAGCUGCAGAAACGGCGUGAACCAGGCAGGUCACACCUAGGAAUCCGUUGAGACUCUGGCAACCUCAUGUUCCUGUAUACAUGUAUAACUUCGGUGACAGAUGCACAGUGGAAGGAAACAUCUGUAUAUUCCUGAGGAUAUUCUGGAAGGAUCACUUCCACAAAUGUUCCAGCACAGCAGGAC